ensembl:snRNA U6 U6 spliceosomal RNA
GUGCUUGCUCUGGCAGCACAUAUACUAAAAUUGGAACAGUAAAGAGAAGAUUAGCAUGGCCCCCAUGCAAGAAUGAUAUGCAAAUUCCUGAAGUGUUCCAUAUGUUU